ACGGGUGAGUAACGCGUGAGAAUCUGCCCUCAGGAGGGGGACAACAGCUGGAAACGGCUGCUAAUACCCCAUAUGCCGCGAGGUGAAAUGAAUUUCGCCUGAGGAUGAGCUCGCGUCUGAUUAGCUAGUUGGUGUAGGUAAUGGCUCACCAAGGCAUCGAUCAGUAGCUGGUCUGAGAGGAUGAUCAGCCACACUGGGACUGAGACACGGCCCAGACUCCUACGGGAGGCAGCAGUGGGGAAUUUUCCGCAAUGGGCGAAAGCCUGACGGAGCAACGCCGCGUGAGGGAUGAAGGCCUCUGGGCUGUAAAC
rnacentral:rRNA from 1 species